CCCAUGGCGCCUGUUUAUCAAAAACAUGGUUUUUUGGGUAUUAUAAAAAAUCGUACCUGCUCCCUGCUUAAGUUAAGAGCCGCAGUAUUAUGACUGUGCUAAGGUAGCAUAAUCAUUUGUCUUUUAAAUGAGGUCUGGAAUGAAGGGUUUGAUCGAAGAAAAAGCUGUCUCUUUAUUAUUGAGUGAAUUAAAUUAAUUAGUAAAAAGGCUAAUAUUAACCUGAAAGACGAUAAGACCCUAUUAAGCUUAAUUUUUAAAAUUUUACUGGGGCGGUAAGAUGUGAUUUAAAUCACAUCUCGAGACGGUUAGAUUUGGGUGACCCAAAUUUAUUGGAACUUAGAUAAAGUUACUAUAGGGAUAACAGCUUAAUUUUCCAUUGAAGAUCUUAUUUAAUGGGAAGUUUGAGACCUCGAUGUUGAAUUAAAGAGCCUUAUAAGUGUAGAAGUUUAUAUAGGAAGUCUGUUCGACUUUUAAAUCUUUACGUGAUCUGAGUUCAGACCGGCCAUGG
rnacentral:rRNA from 1 species